rnacentral:sRNA from 1 species
UGUUUCUGAAAAUUCUAACAUCCAAACACAAGUCAGUAUUCCAAUCCACAGCAAAUAAGAUAGUCAGUAUUCCAUUCCAUAGCAACAGAAGAUAGAAAGACUCCCUUACAUUAACAGAUCAGUCCAUCUCUCAAACCUCAUAAGAAAUGUUUCCUUUUGUGUUAGAUGGUGAUGACAACUAACACAGAGACCCACACUAGUCAAGGUAAACUGAGGAAACAGAUUCCUGGAGACUGCAUCAUUUGUAACAAAUGGAGGUUUAUUUGGCUUGGGAUGAGGGAAGCAGAGUGAAGAAGUAUGCUUUCUGUGUCUAGUAGGGUUCCUAAUGCUGCAUCAUUCUGUGGUGUGAGCCCAGUCUACCUAGGAACCAGCAUCUAGAAAGAAGACAGCUACAAGAGAGAAGACAGUACCUGUGCACCCAGGCCCUUCAGUCAUGUGUGCAUGAAGUAAAGAAUAGGAGUUCCCUAGAUCAGAAUGGCCGUGGUUUCUUCAGUUGCCUCUCACCUUUAUGAAGAAUGAACUGUGGGGUAUUUGGAUCCUCUUUGUCACCCCAGUAAAGAAAUCUCUUUCCAUGUGAAGGAAUCCAGCCCUCAGCUCUAAGCCUACAAGCAUGAAGAUUAGGAGCAUGUGUUUAUGCGAGCCAAGUGCAAGCUGAUACCCCUGGAGGCCAGCAGAGGCCAUUGAAUCCUCUGGAAAUGAAAUUACAGGCAGCUGUGAUGGGUGCCUGACCCUGGAUCCACUGCAAGGAGAAAUCCCCUGAACAGUUGGUGACUAGAUGAUAUAACAUGUUAUCUACAGAACAAGACUAGAAUAAUAGUUUUAAGAUCAUUCCAUUAAAUGUAGAGAAGUUAAAGGAAGACACGAUGGACAGUAAUGAGAUUCCACAUCUGAGACUGGGCAGCAGCUCCCAGCCAGACUGGCCCAGCAUGCACUGAUUUAGCUCACUUUACCUCACAUUCAGUCGCAUCCAUCAACAGAACGAGGCCAUAGGCUCUUAAUGUUUAUAACGACUUCAUUCUUUGCUAUCUGUGUGCCUUUACCCAUACCACUCUACUCACUAGAACUGUCAAGAUACUGAUGAUACCCUUACAGAAGCUGGGUAAGCCCCAACAUGCUCACUGUGCCCAACCUGAGGGCAGGCCGGAUGAAAGAGUGACGAAAGGCUGGGACGUUGUGACUUCUUUGGCGAGAGCUCACCCUCUGAAUGGAAAGCUGACUCUGUUUCGGGGCCUUAGGAAAAGGUCUAAUAAACGUGCUCUGGUAAUCUUC